GAUGAACGCUGGCGGCGUGCCUAAUACAUGCAAGUCGAGCGAACAGACGAGGAGCUUGCUCCUCUGACGUAGCGGCGGACGGGUGAGUAACACGUGGAUAACCUACCUAUAAGACUGGGAUAACUUCGGGAAACCGGAGCUAAUACCGGAUAACAUGUUGAACCGCAUGGUUCAACAGUGAAAGACGGUCUUGCUGUCACUUAUAGAUGGGUCCGCGCCGCAUUAGCUAGUUGGUAAGGUAACGGCUUACCAAGGCAACGAUGCGUAGCCGACCUGAGAGGGUGAUCGGCCACACUGGAACUGAGACACGGUCCAGACUCCUACGGGAGGCAGCAGUAGGGAAUCUUCCGCAAUGGGCGAAAGCCUGACGGAGCAACGCCGCGUGAGUGAUGAAGGUCUUCGGAUCGUAAAACUCUGUUAUUAGGGAAGAACAAAUGUGUAAGUAACUAUGCACGUCUUGACGGUGCCUAAUCAGAAAGCCACGGCUAACUACGUG
rnacentral:rRNA from 1 species